rnacentral:lncRNA from 1 species
AUGUUCCAGACCAACAAAAUGAACUAAAGCUGAUGCAAAUGCAAUUUAUACGAUGCAAAUAAUAUGGCAAGACCAGCAUGAUCACAUCUCCACUCAUCCUGAAAGCUUCAAAACACUAGAAAUGGGAACCAUGAAGUAUAACCAUCCUCCUAGGAGCAUUUAAAAACCUGUAAAACCAAGCUGUUGCUUUCUGGUUGUUAUAUAAUUACCUUAGCAAACAUUUGCAUGGCCAGCAAACUCCAAGAAUCAUGAAUUAGUACACAC